CGGGGUGAGUAAUGUCUGGGAAACUGCCUGAUGGAGGGGGAUAACUACUGGAAAUGGUAGCUAAUACCGCAUAACGUCGCAAGACCAAAGAGGGGGACCUUCGGGCCUCUUGCCAUCGGAUGUGCCCAGAUGGGAUUAGCUAGUAGGUGGGGUAACGGCUCACCUAGGCGACGAUCCCUAGCUGGUCUGAGAGGAUGACCAGCCACACUGGAACUGAGACACGGUCCAG
rnacentral:rRNA from 1 species